GACUCGUCACACUAUCAUUAACUGAAUCCAUAGGUUAAUGAGGCGAACCGGGGGAACUGAAACAUCUAAGUACCCCGAGGAAAAGAAAUCAACCGAGAUUCCCCCAGUAGCGGCGAGCGAACGGGGAGGAGCCCAGAGCCUGAAUCAGCAUGUGUGUUAGUGGAAGCGUCUGGAAAGGCGCGCGAUACAGGGUGACAGCCCCGUACACAAAAGCGCAUGUGCUGUGAGCUCGAUGAGUAGGGCGGGACACGUGGUAUCCUGUCUGAAUAUGGGGGGACCAUCCUCCAAGGCUAAAUACUCCUGACUGACCGAUAGUGAACCAGUACCGUGAGGGAAAGGCGAAAAGAACCCCGGCGAGGGGAGUGAAAAAGAACCUGAAACCGUGUACGUACAAGCAGUGGGAGCACCCUUUGGGGUGUGACUGCGUACCUUUUGUAUAAUGGGUCAGCGACUUAUAUUCUGUAGCAAGGUUAACCGAAUAGGGGAGCCGGAGGGAAACCGAGUCUUAAUUGGGCGUUAAGUUGCAGGGUAUAGACCCGAAACCCGGUGAUCUAGCCAUGGGCAGGUUGAAGGUUGGGUAACACUAACUGGAGGACCGAACCGACUAAUGUUGAAAAAUUAGCGGAUGACCUGUGGCUGGGGGUGAAAGGCCAAUCAAACCGGGAGAUAGCUGGUUCUCCCCGAAAGCUAUUUAGGUAGCGCCUCGUGAAUUCAUCUCCGGGGGUAGAGCACUGUUUCGGCUAGGGGGCCAUCCCGGCUUACCAACCCGAUGCAAACUGCGAAUACCGGAGAAUGUUAUCACGGGAGACACACGGCGGGUGCUAACGUCCGUCGUGAAGAGGGAAACAACCCAGACCGCCAGCUAAGGUCCCAAAGUCAUGGUUAAGUGGGAAACGAUGUGGGAAGGCCCAGACAGCCAGGAUGUUGGCUUAGAAGCAGCCAUCAUUUAAAGAAAGCGUAAUAGCUCACUGGUCGAGUCGGCCUGCGCGGAAGAUGUAACGGGGCUAAACCAUGCACCGAAGCUGCGGCAGCGACACUCAGGUGUUGUUGGGUAGGGGAGCGUUCUGUAAGCCUGCGAAGGUGGCCUGUGAGGGUUGCUGGAGGUAUCAGAAGUGCGAAUGCUGACAUAAGUAACGAUAAAGCGGGUGAAAAGCCCGCUCGCCGGAAGACCAAGGGUUCCUGUCCAACGUUAAUCGGGGCAGGGUGAGUCGACCCCUAAGGCGAGGCCGAAAGGCGUAGUCGAUGGGAAACGGGUUAAUAUUCCCGUACUUGGUGUUACUGCGAAGGGGGGACGGAGAAGGCUAUGUUGGCCGGGCGACGGUUGUCCCGGUUUAAGCGUGUAGGUGUGUGUUCCAGGUAAAUCCGGUUCACUUUAAC
rnacentral:rRNA from 1 species